AGUGAACGCUGGCGGUAGGCCUAACACAUGCAAGUCGAACGGCAGCACAGUAAGAGCUUGCUCUUACGGGUGGCGAGUGGCGGACGGGUGAGGAAUACAUCGGAAUCUACUUUUUCGUGGGGGAUAACGUAGGGAAACUUACGCUAAUACCGCAUACGACCUACGGGUGAAAGCAGGGGAUCUUCGGACCUUGCGCGAUUGAAUGAGCCGAUGUCGGAUUAGCUAGUUGGCGGGGUAAAGGCCCACCAAGGCGACGAGCCGUAGCUGGUCUGAGAGGAUGAUAAGCGACACUGGAACGGAGACACGGUCCAGACUCCUACGGGAGGCAGCAGUGGGGAAUAUUGGACAAUGGUCGCAAGCCUGAUCCAGCCAUACCGCGUGUGUGAAGAAGGCCUUCGGGUUGUAAAGCCCUUUUGUUGGGAAAGAAAAGCAUCAGGUUAAUACCCCGCUGUUCUGACGGUACCCAAAGAAUAAGCACCGGCUAACUUCGUG
rnacentral:rRNA from 1 species